rnacentral:rRNA from 1 species
AUUGAACGCUGGCGGCAGGCCUAACACAUGCAAGUCGAGCGGAUGAAGGGAGCUUGCUCCUGGAUUCAGCGGCGGACGGGUGAGUAAUGCCUAGGAAUCUGCCUGGUAGUGGGGGAUAACGUCCGGAAACGGGCGCUAAUACCGCAUACGUCCUGAGGGAGAAAGUGGGGGAUCUUCGGACCUCACGCUAUCAGAUGAGCCUAGGUCGGAUUAGCUAGUUGGUGGGGUAAAGGCCUACCAAGGCGACGAUCCUUAACUGGUCUGAGAGGAUGAUCAGUCACACUGGAACCGAGACACGGUCCAGACUCCUACGGGAGGCAGCAGUGGGGAAUAUUGGACAAUGGGCGAAAGCCUGAUCCAGCCAUGCCGCGUGUGUGAAGAAGGUCUUCGGAUUGUAAAGCACUUUAAGUUGGGAGGAAGGGCAGUAAGUUAAUACCUUGCUGUUUUGACGUUACCAACAGAAUAAGCACCGGCUAACUUCGUG